rnacentral:misc_RNA from 1 species
AAGAGCCAGCGCAAAAAUCAACCUCAAAAUAAAUCGGAGCUGUCUCUCAAAGACUUAGGCCAUUCUUUUCUCCGCGCCCGAGGACUUCCUCCUGCAACUCCGACCAUCAUCAACUUUUUGAUUGUUCUUCUGCAUGACACAGCAGCCAAAACAGAAUCUAUACUAUUCAUAUUCAUAUUCGACGAUAUCAUCUCUCAACCAUUACAAUUAUCAUCAUCACCAUCACCAUCUUUGCAAUACGAUUGGCUUUCCUUUGAACGUCCCUUUGUAACUCUGGACUCUGCUUUUUGUGGGAGGCUGAGGAGCUGGAAAAAGGUUCUGAUUUUAUUGGGAAAAAAUAGCUUUUGAAUUUGAAAAUGAGAAGAAGUUUUCGAUUUGCACGCCAACUUCUAUCAGCUUUACAAUAUCAAGAACACAAUUGCUCUGUUAGUUUGUUGAAAAGGCAACAAACCCUUUUGGUAGAUGGCAAUUGCACCACUUCUAUUUGUAGAGCUAUCAAUAGUGUUGAUACUAAUAGAUUUCUCUCUCCCAAACUUAUCAUCUCAAGAGCUCUGUCAACAG